ACGUAGGGGGCAAGCGUUAUUCGGAAUUAUUGGGCGUAAAGGGCGUGUAGGCGGUUCUGUAAGUCUGAUGUGAAAGCCCCGGGCUUAACCCGGGGCGUGCAUUGGAAACUGUGUCACUUGAGUGCAGGAGAGGAUGGGGGAAUUCCCUGUGUAGCGGUGAAAUUCGUAGAGAUAUGGAGGAACACCAGUGGCGAAGGCGACUAUCUGGACUGUACCUGACGCUGAGGCGCGAAAGCGUGGGGAGCAAACAG
rnacentral:rRNA from 1 species